AGAGUUUGAUUAUGGCUCACGCACUUAUCGCUGGCGGCGUGCCUAACACAUGCAAGUCGAACGGACUGCCAAGGACAAACAUUUCGGUGGGCGGCUUUGGUAACUGAGUGGCGGACGGGUGAGUAACGCGUGGACAACCUGCCGUGUACAGGGGGAUAACAGCCGGAAACGGCUGCUAAUACCGCAUAUGCGCACAGUGCCGCAUGGCACAGGGCGGAAAACGAUAGUGGUACACGAUGGGUCCGCGUCUGAUUAGAUAGUUGGCGGGGUAACGGCCCACCAAGUCGACGAUCAGUAGCCGGCCUGAGAGGGCGGACGGCCACACUGGGACUGAGACACGGCCCAGACUCCUGCGGGAGGCAGCAGUGGGGAAUAUUGCACAAUGGGGGGAACCCUGAUGCAGCGACGCCGCGUGAAGGAAGAAGUAUUUCGGUAUGUAAACUUCUAUCAGCAGGGAAGAAAAAGGACGGUACCUGACUAAGAAGCCCCGGCUAACUACGUGCCAGCAGCCGCGGUAAUACGUAGGGGGCGAGCGUUAUCCGGAUUUACUGGGUGUAAAGGGGGCGCAGACGGCCAUGGCAAGCCCGGUGUGAAAGGUGCGGGCACAACCCGCAGACUGCACUGGUAACUGCCUGGCUGGAGUGCCGGAGGGGUAAACGGAAUUCCCUGGUGUACCGGUGAAAUGCGUACAUAU
rnacentral:rRNA from 1 species